AACUUUGAGCGGUAGAUCAAUCGGUUCGUGUGUCGAUGAAGAGGGCAGCCAACAGUAUGAAUUAAUAUGAACAGCAUAUUGCAUUUUGAAGGUAUAUUGAGGCUUCGAGAUAUCCUGUGGCCAAGCCUGGCUGAGGGCUG
rfam:Schistosoma rodhaini strain Burundi genome assembly, scaffold: SROB_scaffold0002270